UGGACAGUAUGACAGUAAUAAUCCUUGCGAUUCCGGUCCAUUAAGCUUACAAUAGCCAGUUUGACUUAUGGGUGAUUUGGCCGCUUAAGUCAUAACAGUUUUACAAGGCGUAUGUCAAAUUCAGGUCGAAACUCGAGCGCGGGCCGAACGCACCAUUUCAGGGUUAAGUUACAUUCGUCAAA